rnacentral:rRNA from 1 species
CCUACGGGUGGCAGCAGUGAGGAAUAUUGGUCAAUGGACGAGAGUCUGAACCAGCCAAGUAGCGUGAAGGAUGACUGCCCUAUGGGUUGUAAACUUCUUUUAUAAAGGAAUAAAAUGAUGCACGUGUGCCUUUUUGUAUGUACUUUAUGAAUAAGGAUCGGCUAACUCCGUGCCAGCAGCCGCGGUAAUACGGAGGAUCCGAGCGUUAUCCGGAUUUAUUGGGUUUAAAGGGAGCGUAGAUGGAUUGUUAAGUCAGUUGUGAAAGUUUGCGGCUCAACCGUAAAAUUGCAAUUGAUACUGGCAGUCUUGAGUACAGUAGAGGUAGGCGGAAUUCGUGGUGUAGCGGUGAAAUGCUUAGAUAUCACGAAGAACCCCGAUUGCGAAGGCAGCUUACUAAACUGUGACUGACAUUGAUGCUCGAAAGUGUGGGUAUCAAACAGGAUUAGAUACCCGAGUAGUC